UUUCAGUCAAAAUGGCGCGCACACGAUGGAUAACCGUCUGCAGAACAGCCGCGUGACAAUCGGUGCAUCUCCCCCAGAAACGCCGCGUGACAAUCGGCUUAAUAAUGCUUCAGUGUGUGGUACUCCUCAAAACACGGGACAGCACACAAGGGAGUGUUGCAUGGCACACACAUGUGCUUGGUGAGGCGCCUCUGCUUGCCCUUGCGUGUGCUGGAGAGGCAGACCUUGCAGUGCCGCCUGGUCUUGCUGCCCUGGGAAGUGGUCUGAGGGACUUCAGAUGGGAAAUGCCUGGCUGUAAGGCGCAGAGGAGUGUCCAAGGCAG